GACGAACGCUGUCGGCGUGCUUAACACAUGCAAGUCGAACGGAAAGGCCCUGCUUUUGUGGGGUGCUCGAGUGGCGAACGGGUGAGUAACACGUGAGUAACCUGCCCUUGACUUUGGGAUAACUUCAGGAAACUGGGGCUAAUACCGGAUAGGAGCUCCUGCUGCAUGGUGGGGGUUGGAAAGUUUCGGCGGUUGGGGAUGGACUCGCGGCUUAUCAGCUUGUUGGUGGGGUAGUGGCUUACCAAGGCUUUGACGGGUAGCCGGCCUGAGAGGGUGACCGGCCACAUUGGGACUGAGAUACGGCCCAGACUCCUACGGGAGGCAGCAGUGGGGAAUAUUGCACAAUGGGCGGAAGCCUGAUGCAGCAACGCCGCGUGCGGGAUGACGGCCUUCGGGUUGUAAACCGCUUUCGCCUGUGACGAAGCGUGAGUGACGGUAAUGGGUAAAGAAGCACCGGCUAACUACGUGCCAGCAGCCGCGGUGAUACGUAGGGUGCGAGCGUUGUCCGGGUUUAUUGGGCGUAAAGGGCUCGUAGGUGGUUGAUCGCGUCGGAAGUGUAAUCUUGGGGCUUAACCCUGAGCGUGCUUUCGAUACGGGUUGACUUGAGGAAGGUAGGGGAGAAUGGAGUUCCUGGUGGAGCGGUGGAAUGCGCAGAUAUCAGGAGGAACACCAGUGGCGAAGGCGGUUCUCUGGGCCUUUCCUGACGCUGAGGAGCGAAAGCGUGGGGAGCGAACAGGCUUAGAUACCCUGGUAGUCCACGCUGUAAACGGUGGGUACUAGGUGUGGGGUCCAUUCCACGGGUUCCGUGCCGUAGCUAACGCUUUAAGUACCCCGCCUGGGGAGUACGGCCGCAAGGCUAAAACUCAAAGGAAUUGACGGGGCCCCGCACAAGCGGCGGAGCAUGCGGACUAAUUCGAUGCAACGCGUAGAACCUUACCUGGGUUUGACAUGGAUCGGGAGUGCUCAGAGAUGGGUGUGCCUCUUUUGGGGUCGGUUCACAGGUGGUGCAUGCCUGUCGUCAGCUCGUGUCGUGAGAUGUUGGGUUAAGUCCCGCAACGAGCGCAACCCUUGUUCACUGUUGCCAGCACGUUAUGGUGGGGACUCAGUGGAGACCGCCGGGGUCAACUCGGAGGAAGGUGGGGAUUACGUCAAGCCAUCAUGCCCCUUAUGUCCAGGGCUUCACGCAUGCUACAAUGGCUGGUACAGAGAGUGGCGAGCCUGUGAGGGUGAGCGAAUCUCGGAAAGCCGGUCUCAGUUCGGAUUGGGGUCUGCAACUCGACCUCAUGAAGUCGGAGUCGCUAGUAAUCGCAGAUCAGCAACGCUGCGGUGAAUACGUUCCCGGGGCU
rnacentral:rRNA from 1 species